rnacentral:rRNA from 1 species
GGGAAUAUUGGGCAAUGGGCGCAAGCCUGACCCAGCAACGCCGCGUGAAGGAAGAAGGCCCUCGGGUUGUAAACUUCUUUUAUCAGGGACGAAACAAAUGACGGUACCUGAUGAAUAAGCCACGGCUAACUACGUGCCAGCAGCCGCGGUAAUACGUAGGUGGCAAGCGUUAUCCGGAUUUACUGGGUGUAAAGGGCGUGUAGGCGGGUCUGCAAGUCAGAUGUGAAAUCUCAUGGCUCAACCAUGGAACUGCAUUUGAAACUGUAGAUCUUGAGUGAUGGAGAGGCAGGCGGAAUUCCGUGUGUAGCGGUGAAAUGCGUAGAUAUACGGAGGAACACCAGUGGCGAAGGCGGCCUGCUGGACAUUAACUGACGCUGAGGCGCGAAAGCGUGGGGAGCAAACAGG